CCACAGCUCAUUAUUACUUUUGGUACGCGCUGUGCCACUUCAAACUCGUACCGUGAGUAAUAAUGCGUGGAGG
rfam:Ophiophagus hannah scaffold2663.1, whole genome shotgun sequence.